rnacentral:rRNA from 1 species
UAAAGGAGCGAUCCGGUGACGGAUGGGCAUGCGUGACAUUAGCUAGUCGGCGGGGUAACGGCCCACCGAGGCGACGAUGUCUAGGGGUUCUGAGAGGAAGGUCCCCCACACUGGUACUGAGACACGGACCAGACUCCUACGGGAGGCAGCAGUGAGGAAUAUUGGUCAAUGGGCUUACGCCUGAACCAGCCAAGUCGCGUGAGGGAAGACUGCCCUAUGGGUUGUAAACCUCUUUUGUCAGGGAGCAACGCCGGCUACGUGUAGCCGGACUGAGAGUACCUGAAGAAAAAGCAUCGGCUAACUCCGUGCCAGCAGCCGCGGUAAUACGGAGGAUGCGAGCGUUAUCCGGAUUUAUUGGGUUUAAAGGGUGCGUAGGCGGAAUGCCAAGUCAGCGGUAAAAUCGCGGGGCUCAACCUCGCUCCGCCGUUGAAACUGGCGUUCUUGAGUGGGCGAGAAGUAUGCGGAAUGCGUGGUGUAGCGGUGAAAUGCAUAGAUAUCACGCAGAACUCCGAUUGCGAAGGCAGCAUACCGGCGCCCAACUGACGCUGAAGCACGAAAGCGUGGGUAUCGAACAGGAUUAGAUACCCUGGUAGUCCACGCAGUAAA